GACUUGCUGACGAGUGCCAAAGAGCACGAAACCUGGGUCCAGGGU
rfam:Schistosoma mattheei strain Denwood, Zambia genome assembly, scaffold: SMTD_scaffold0000128